AACGCGAAGAACCUUACCCAGGCUCGAAAUGUAGAGAGCUAUGUUAGAAAUAACAUAUCCCGAAAGGGUCUCUAUAUAGGUGCUGCAUGGCUGUCGUCAGCUCGUGCCGUGAGGUGUUGGGUUAAGUCCCGCAACGAGCGCAACCCUUAUCGUUAGUUGCCAACGAGUCAAGUCGGGAACUCUAACGAGACUGCCUGGGUUAACCAGGAGGAAGGUGAGGAUGACGUCAAGUCCGCAUGGCCCUUAUGUCUGGGGCAACACACGUGCUACAAUGGCCGGUACAGAAGGCAGCGAAACCGCGAGGUGGAGCAAAUCCUAAAAAGCCGGUCUCAGUUCGGAUUGCAGUCUGCAACUCGACUGCAUGAAGUUGGAAUUGCUAGUAAUGGCGGGUCAGCAACACCGCCGUGAAUACGUUCCCGGGCCUUGUACACACCGCGCAUA
rnacentral:rRNA from 1 species